CGUAAAUUAAGUUUAAUUUGUGUGUCUUUUUGUGACUGAUGUGACAUAUCAAUCGUGACUUCAUCAUGUCCAUUUUAUCGAUGUUCAAUGUUUUUCUUUUCACAGCCAACAUGACGACAUUUGGACCAAAAAUUGUCACUACACUCCCAAAAAACAAGCGGUUUCAAGAGGGACAUGCAAUAACGAUGAAAUGUGCCGCAGCCGGAAGGUAUGUGUCUCUAGUUGAUAGAUGCGUGAUUAUUUAGUGUUAAUAAUAUUUAUUAUUUAAAGAUAUGUAUACAAAGUGGCCUUUCACAUUUGUGAUUGUUAAAGGACUGUGUAUCACACAAAGGAAUAUUACAAAAUGUCCGGGCCCGCAGUAAUUGGUUUCAGGCUGUUGCGGAUACCCAACCAUCAACUCAGUUUAUGUCAUUGUGUUAUGUAUGUAUAUGUGUGUAUGUGUGUAUGUUUCUGUACAGGAGUGAUGGAAAAGCAAUUAAAUUAAAUAAAAAUUAAGAUUUAUAUUAAUAGGGAGUCAUCCAAACUAACUAGUUGAUUACAGAGAUGGAUUUACUGGUGGAGUGCACCCCCCCUUCCAGCCCUGGCCAGAGGGGGUGCAGGUGGGGGGGGGGUGCUAUUUUUCAUGAUAAAGCAAAAAAUUAUUAGAGACAAAAUGAGAUACAGUAAUUUGAGUAAUAACAUGAUGAUAAGCGAACUGUGAACAACAAUUACAAUUCAAAUACAGUAGUCAAGCAAGACUUUGCAGUAGUCAAGCAAGUUGAUGGGCUGGCGGCACACAUGAC